rnacentral:rRNA from 1 species
GGCCAGCAGCCGCGGUAAUACAGAGGUCCCGAGCGUUGUUCGGAUUCACUGGGCGUAAAGGGUGCGUAGGUGGCGUGGUAAGUUUGAUGUGAAAGCUCAGGGCUUAACCCUGAAAUGGCAUUGAAUACUACUGUGCUGGAGGUUUGGAGGGGGGACUGGAAUUCUUGGUGUAGCAGUGAAAUGCGUAGAUAUCAAGAGGAACACCAGUGGCGAAGGCGAGUCCCUGGACAACACCUGACACUGAGGCACGAAAGCUAGGGGAGCAAACAGGAUUAGAUACCCUGGUAGUCCUAGCCCUAAACGGUGCACGCUUGCUGUAAGAGGAAUCGACCCCUCUUGUGGCGAAGCUAACGCGAUAAGCGUGCCGCCUGGGGAGUACGGUCGCAAGAUUAAAACUCAAAGGAAUUGACGGGGGCCCGCACAAGC